UGGUUUUAGCCCAGCGGUUCCUUCGAGUCUGGCUUCCCAACCACCCAGGCCAAUUGGUCUCAUGGUUCGAGACCCGCAGGAACUCUCCA
ensembl:misc_RNA Vault Vault RNA